AUUGAACGCUGGCGGCAUGCCUUACACAUGCAAGUCGAACGGUAACGGGCCUUCGGGUGCCGACGAGUGGCGAACGGGUGAGUAAUACAUCGGAACGUGCCCGAUCGUGGGGGAUAACGAGGCGAAAGCUUUGCUAAUACCGCAUACGAUCUACGGAUGAAAGCAGGGGACCGCAAGGCCUUGCGCGGACGGAGCGGCCGAUGGCAGAUUAGGUAGUUGGUGGGAUAAAAGCUUACCAAGCCGACGAUCUGUAGCUGGUCUGAGAGGAUGAUCAGCCACACUGGGACUGGGGCACGGCCCAGACUCCUACGGGAGGCAGCAGUGGGGAAUUUUGGACAAUGGGCGCAAGCCUGAUCCAGCCAUGCCGCGUGCAGGAUGAAGGCCUUCGGGUUGUAAACUGCUUUUGUACGGAACGAAAAGCCUUCUUUUAAUACAGGAGGGUCAUGACGGUACCGUAAGAAUAAGCACCGGCUAACUACGUG
rnacentral:rRNA from 1 species